AGUGAACGCUGGCGGUAGGCCUACCACAUGCAAGUCGAACGGCAGCACAGUAAGUGCUUGCUCUUACGGGUGGCGAGUGGCGGACGGGUGAGGAAUACAUCGGAAUCUACUUUUUCGUGGGGGAUAACGUAGGGAAACUUACGCUCAUACCGCAUCCGACCUACGGGUUAAAGCAGGGGAGCUUCGGACUUUGCGCGAUUGAAUGAGCCGAUGUCGGUUUAGCUAGUUUGCUGGGUAAAGGCCCACCAAGGCGACGAUUCGUCUCUGGUCUGAGAGGAUGAUCAGCCACACUGGAACUGAGACACGGUCCAGACGCCUACGGGAGGCAGCAGUGGGGAAUAUUGGACAAUGGGCGCAAGCCUGAUCCAGCCAUACCGCGUGGGUGAAGAAGGCCUUCGGGUUGUAAAGCCCUUUUGUUGGGAAAGAAAAGCAGCAGGUUAAUACCCCGCUGUUCUGACGGUACCCAAAGAAUAAGCACCGGCUAACUUCGUG
rnacentral:rRNA from 1 species